CAGUCCUUUGUAAGGUGAGAGAGCGUUCUCCUCCUCCUCCGCAGCCCCUCUAUCAUCGUCUCCCACAAAUCGCCGCCACCGACCAACUCCUAACUCCCACACCUCGGCGCCGGCCCUCCCCUUCCCCUCCUCUUACCUCGCAGCUUCGGCAGCUGUCGGAUCCGCCGAAUCCCCCACCGAUCCAUCCCUCUAGCAGCACAUCUCUCCCUCUCUCAUGUGACCCCUCGUGUCGCGGCCAACGCCGGCCAAUUCCGCCAACGUCCACCACUACGCAACAGACUCAUGAGCUGCUCUCCGACCCCUCCGUCUGCCAAGAUGGCUGGAUCCGCCGCUCCCGGUCACCGGUGCUCGCCCCGCAACACCUCGCCUGUGGCUGGGGUUACAGCCAUGGGGUCGCGUACAUCACGGGCGUGUCUCCGGUGGUGACUCUCCGUCGGAAAAAGUGCCCCCUCACGCCCUCUCCACCUCUUGGAUGGCGCUCCCUAGCUCGGCGCGCUCGCAUGCGUUGGACUGGACGCCGGCGAUGCGUCCUCCUCUGUCACGUCUCCGGCGCAGCUAUGCACAUGUGGCGACCUCCUCUGCCUCGCGAAGCCGGUGGCCAACCUUCGCUGCGAGCGCUGCAUCGCCUACAAACCGAGCAGAACAUGGGUGUUCUGGAGCAGAUGCUACUUGGUAGAGCAAGCACAGGCGCCAUGAAAGGGGAAGAAUAAGAGUUCUUGCACAUAACAUGUUUGAUGAAAUACAGGCACCACAAAUUGAACUCAUCUCCAAGCUAUGCUUUAUGAGAGGCUACAGAUUGUUACAUUAUUUUGUCCAGUCCAUGAUGCAAGAUUCAUUCAUUUGUGAUUGUUGCAAUAACAAUUAUUGGCCAAAAGCAUGGUUGUGUGUGGUUCCUGCUGCUGUACUGUGGUAUUGGUUUUCUUCCGCCUGCCUGAUGUGGUGAUGCUUUGGUGUGCCUAUUGUUCGCAGAGAUUAACCAAUAUUUGGGAGAUGUGGUGGCUCACCCGAUCGGAAACAGAACAAGAUGAAGGAGCUUAAGUAUAGCCACAUCAGGGUGACCUGGGAGGAAGGAAGUUUACGUGUGAUAGGAGAUGAUCGCCAUAAUCUGGGUGCUAAAGGCCUUUGGAAACAGAACAAGAUGAAGGAGCUUAAGUACAGCCACAUCAGGGCGACCUGGGAGCAAGGAAUUUUACCUGUGAUAGGAGAUGAUCGCCAUAAUCUGGGUGCCAAAGGCCCAGGGGAUUAUAACAUGGUUUUUUUAUAGAAAGGUUGUGAAAACCUUCCGGCAUUGCCACAGGAAGCUUACACAUCUGCUCAUGUCAUAGUGUUCUCUGUUUUUGUUGUUGUUGCUGCAUGAUGAUUAUGUUGUAGCUUACAGUACCAGGCAACAAUCUUCUGUUGAUUACAGUGCCAAAAACUCCAGCAGGCCGCAGGACUACUACGCCGCUGGUGCCUAUCAACGUCGCUGCCGAUGCCCUGCAUCCGAUUGGCUGCCAAGGAAUCCACCAACACGUCCCAAUACACGUCUGUAUCCCACAUCAUGAGCUCCUCGAAGGUGAGCAGCUGGCCCAGCCUCGCCAUGUAGCACACGGUCUUGGUAGUGGAGAUGUUGUCAUUGUCAUUGCAGUCGAAGGUGUGGAGCAUAGGGCGUGAGCACCGGCAUGAUGGUGUGCGCCAGCUCGUCGAACUCGGAGGCCCGCUGACAUUUGCAUCGAUGGCCAGCAGCAGAAGGACUCCUCACCCGACGGUCGCAAGCUUAGGGGGUGGAGCGGGGCAUCGAGCUUGAGAUCUCUUGGCACUUGUCACGUCAUCACUGACUCAGACCAGAAGAGUUCUGUUGUGUUCGGUGUCACGCCCUCCACAGCCUGCGAUGGUGAUCACGAUGCCCCUGCGGAACGACGCGCUGAUACGUCUCCGUCGUAUCUAUAAUUUUUGAUUGUUCCAUGCCAAUAUUCUACAACUUUCAUAUACUUUUUGGCAACUUUUUAUAUUAUUUUUGGGACUAACAUAUUGAUCCAGUGUCCAGUGCCA